rnacentral:rRNA from 1 species
GGGAUAGCCCAGGGAAACCUGGAUUAAUACCGGAUGAAGACGGGACCGUGCGAUGGCGGGAUCCCGGGAAAGGCGCUACGGCGCCGCCGGGGGAUGAGUCUGCGUCCCAGUUAGCUAGACGGCGGGGUAACGGCCCACCGUGGCGACGAUGGGUAGCCGGCCUGAGAGGGUGGACGGCCACAUUGGAACUGAGACACGGUCCAGACUCCUACGGGAGGCAGCAGGCUAAGAAUCUUCCGCAAUGGGCGAAAGCCUGACGGAGCGAACGCCGCGUGAACGAAGAAGGCCGUGAGGUUGUAAAGUUCUUUUCGGGAGGGGGAACAACCGUGGCAGGGAAUGGCCGCGGGAUGACGUGAAUCCCGGAAUAAGCCCCGGCUAACUACGUGCCAGCAGCCGC